GAUCUUAGAGAUCAUCUGGUCAGCUCACACGUAAUGGAGAAGGAGCGAGAAGAUUAAGGACACAUAGUUUGUUAGAGCCAAGACCAGAACUCUCUCAUUAGGCCAUACUGCAUAGAAGUCAUGCAUUCUAUUUACUUGAAUAUUGGUAUUUAGUGCCAGUACCAAAGCGCAAGAAAAAUAAACACUACAGCAGUUGCAGAUUCAUAGUCUGAAAGAAAUAGAAUCAAUAGAGAACAGACAAACCCACAGUUGCCAGUUUGUACAGUCUUGUGGUUUCUGUCAGGGACUACAGACUCGAGCAGGUCUACCAGAUAAUGAAGGCAAACUAUUUCAGUUCCUGUGGGUCCAGAGCGCCUCAGCAGAGUUCUGGUUUCAAACAAAUGAAUAACAAAUUAAAAGACCCUCCCUCACUCCCAGGGAACCUUCCUCACUUCAUACUUCAACUUCAGUCUCUCUCUGCUCCUCACCCUGUGGCUGAGAAAUGAGCUCAGUCCAUCCCUUGCCAGGCUUCGAGAUGCCCAGCCUGGCAGAGCCCCAGGCCUCCUGCCAUCACUCGCCACCCCAGGAGAAGAUACUAGACUCCCACCUCUGCUUGGAAGGUCCUCAGCCAAAUAGAUCACAAGGAGCUAUUCUGAAGUAAUGGACCCAUGAUACAGUAUGAAUGCAUGGGAUUAGAGACGUGAGAAUUACAGAAUUUUUGACCUAGAAGACACCUAGAGAUCAUUCAUUUGACAGUAGAGGAAACUGGUACUCAAACCUGGUUGAUAAUUCAGAGUUCCUGUGAGAAGAGAGUGACAUAAUAUAUAUAAAGUGUUUUAUAAACUAUAUAGCACUAUACUGGAUGCAUUAAAAAAAAUCAGAGUUUGUCUUCUACGUAGUAGUUUGAGUUAUUCCAGAGAUGCUGCCAUUACUCAAAAUGUUUUAAAUCUCUUUUUUAAAAUUGUCAUUUGAGGCAGUUAAGAUUGUCACUGUACAGUCACAUCUUGUUCUUAUCAGUAAAGGUAUUAUCCAGGGCUCAGACAUUCAUCUCAGAUUUGAUCUUAAAUGUGUUUGAAGGCAGAAACUAUGUCUGUCUUGCUCCUUGCUCCUGGUAUACUGCCUGCCACUUAGUAAGCACCUAAUAAUUACUUGUUCAAUGAUUUUUUUUUUAAAAAAGAUCAAACCCACCCUCAGAGAACGGUGAUCUGCUCUGAUUGAUAGGCAAAGGCUCUAAAGACACUUUCAGAAGAGAAUUUUCCAAAUAAAAUUAUUUUUGAGCUAUAACGCUAUUGUUGGAACAAGUUCAAGGUUUUUAAUUAGAAGGGGACAAAAUUUGUUGUAUUUACACAUCUGUGUUCUGGCUGACCUGUUGACAUUGUUGAAUUUAUUUAUA